ensembl:lncRNA
UUUUUUUUUUUUUUUGCUACAAUCAUAUUCCUGGAUAAGUCUGCAGCAGGAAGACAUCUGUAAGCGGCUCUGACAGUCUCAGAAUUAACAGCUGGGAGGGACAGAGCCAUUUCGUGGUCAGCCCAGGCUCCUCAUCUCAUGUACAGCUUGCUUAAUUUCUACCAGUUCAGAUGGGUUUUGUCUAGCCAGCUGCUGUACAAUCCAGGGCUGUACUUCCUGAAACCGAAGGAGGAGCAGAUCAUGAGAGAAGCGGUUGCUGGCACGGAGCGGUGGCAGGGAAGGACAGGGCACCUCCUGGGACCCAGGAAGAGAGAGCCAUGAAAAUGCAGCCUGCUGCGUGCCUCGUGCCGACGGCAGCAGGACCGCACACGGGUCUUGUGCACUGCUUUCUCUUUGGAGUUCCAGGAGGACAAAAGACUUUGUUCUGAGAAAGAAAACACGUUGAAGGGAACUGUACCAUCAGGAAUGUCAAACGCCACCCGGUGGCAGGGCCUGCUCCUGUAGGGGCUGUGGGGCAUGCAUGGGGAGGCGAGGACAGGAACACAGCAGAGACAGUUAUUCGCUCUUCCUCACAAUGCAGGGGAUGAGCCAGAAAAGAAGCUGUCACAUAGAAGUAUAAAACAUGAAAAAGGAAGGACCUGCCUGUACAAAGGUGCAAGCAAGUUGUGGACCUCCACAGGGGGUCACAGCGGCAAAGAGGGACUAAAGCGACAAUCUGAGAUGAUGGUGUGUGCAUAACCUCAGAACACACCAUGAUGGGGUGGCUGGGAAGAGCAGUUGGGACUCGCCAGCUUCUUGUACUUCUCUCUGCAAGCAUCCUUGCUGGCUACAGCCUGUUCAGAGCAAAGCUUGGAGAUUUUAGUUUCCUUCCUUGAUUCCUUACGCACGUUUUUCUGCUCCUCUCUUCUGAGUAGAAACUGCUCUUUUCAUAUAGAGAUGUUCAACAAAUUACAACGCCUAUGGUCUGUGGGGACGCUGGGCACUGGGUGACUGCCCUGCAGGGAUGGCUGUGCUGCCUGUGUGCCUCCCUCAGCUGCGGGGAACAGCCAGAUGCACAAAGCCAUGAUUUAUUCACAUGGUUUAUUAGGUAAAGCGAGGUUUUGGCUCAUUUCUGCGUUUAUUCAUGUACCACAUGUCAAAGGAGAUUAGUCCUUCUUGUGUCGCACAAGAGUUUAGUUUUAAACUAUAACAGAGUAAAUUUUAGACUAAGCAUGGUAGGAAAGGAGCACAGAAAGGACAGCAGGAUCUGGCACGAGGAAGGAAUGAGUGAUGGCCAAGCUGGUAGAGACUGAGGCUGUCAGCGCAGAGGGAGCAGGGUGGGCCAAGGCUUCUCCAGUACUGAGCCCCAGCAGCAGCUGUGAAGGUGGGCAAUGCAGAGACACCCAUCCUUCAGCUGAGCCACAGAAACAUGCUGCUGCCUCUCUAACCAAGCCUUGCCAUCCCCCCCUCUUACCCGUAGGAUUUCGAUGCUGCAACAUUUUCCAUUCUCCUCUUUCUGAUAACAGCAGCUUUUGGCAGAGCACAUCAUCCUGCUGCCAGACAGCCUUGGAAGCUGACAGAUCCUUCAUGUGAAACUGUCUCAGCAAACUGAUGGCCCCUUGGUAACCAUGAGGACCAACCACAGCUUUGGUACUGGGACAAGAAAAUCCCCAGAUGCGUUUGUAAGAAACCUGGUGGCACAGAACAUCACUGCAAAUGGUGGGUGCUGUGUGUUGGCAAUGCCCAGAGCCUAGGGUAAGUGGCCCCAGCUUCUUCUUGGCCUGUCUGACUCCUUUGCCUCUGCUUUGUUCGUCCUCUAGGUAAGCACCAGCCAGGACUGUCCUAGGAAAACCUGCCCCAGUGGAACAGAGCCAGAGCACAGCCCUGCGCUGCCCAUGUUUGCUCAGGGGAGUACAUGCAAACUGAGAACUGGCCUUGGGUCUGAUUGCUCCAUGCACCAGGAGCCAUGCUACCACCUUUCAUGUGGGAAUCCAGACAUCUCCAGAUGUGUAGCUCCUCAUGCCUGCACCAACACAGCAAAGCCUGACCUGUGGGUGCCUCUUUCUCCUCCCCAAGGUGGUUGCACUUCACCUUUUGGCAGAAGAAGCCCAUCCCAGGCCCUCUUCCCCGCUAGGGCAGGGGCAGUGCCAGUGCCAAGCCCCCAGCCUUGCAUCCCCAGGGUGCAUCUCCCUCAAGGGCCCAAAGCUACAGGAGA